UCUACGGGGCGCAGCAGUGGGGAAUAUUGGACAAUGGGCGAAAGCCUGAUCCAGCCAUGCCGCGUGUGUGAAGAAGGCCUUCGGGUUGUAAAGCACUUUCAGUGGGGAAGAAAGCCUUGGGGCUAAUACCCUCGAGGAAGGACAUCACCCACAGAAGAAGCACCGGCUAACUCCGUGCCAGCAGCCGCGGUAAUACGGAGGGUGCGAGCGUUAAUCGGAAUUACUGGGCGUAAAGCGCGCGUAGGCGGUCUGAUAAGCCGGUUGUGAAAGCCCCGGGCUCAACCUGGGAACGGCAUCCGGAACUGUCAGGCUAGAGUGCAGGAGAGGAAGGUAGAAUUCCCGGGGUAGCGGUGAAAUGCGUAGAGAUCGGGAGGAAUACCAGUGGCGAAGGCGGCCUUCUGGACUGACACUGACGCUGAGGUGCGAAAGCGUGGGUAGCAAACAGGAUUAGAUACCCCAGUAGUC
rnacentral:rRNA from 1 species